AUUGAACGCUGGCGGCAGGCCUAACACAUGCAAGUCGAGCGGAUGAAGGGAGCUUGCUCCUGGAUUCAGCGGCGGACGGGUGAGUAAUGCCUAGGAAUCUGCCUGGUAGUGGGGGAUAACGUCCGGAAACGGGCGCUAAUACCGCAUACGUCCUGAGGGAGAAAGUGGGGGAUCUUCGGACCUCACGCUAUCAGAUGAACCUAGGUCGGAUUAGCUAGUUGGCGGGGUAAAGGCCUACCAAGGCGACGAUCCGUAACUGGUCUGAGAGGAUGAUCAGUCACACUGGAACUGAGACACGGUCCAGACUCCUACGGGAGGCAGCAGUGGGGAAUAUUGGACAAUGGGCGAAAGCCUGAUCCAGCCAUGCCGCGUGUGUGAAGAAGGUCUUCGGAUUGUAAAGCACUUUAAGUUGGGAGGAAGGGCAGUAAGUUAAUACCUUGCUGUUUUGACGUUACCAACAGAAUAAGCACCGGCUAACUUCGUG
rnacentral:rRNA from 1 species